rnacentral:tRNA from 1 species
GGCGAUUUCGGAUAGUGGUUAUUCCGUGGGCCUGCUAAGCUCAUGCCCUUGUGGCUCGCAGGUUCGAAUCCUGCAAUCGUCG